AUGAAGGAAGUUAAUCACAAGGCUGGUGUCAGAACAGUGCAGUCAAACCGCUAUCAACUUGGGGGGGGGGGGGUGAGUAAGAUGUAUGGGGACAGCUGCCCAGCCUCCGUGAGUAUCUCACUGAGGAUGAAAAUGACUAUCUUUCUCUUGCUUCUUCUAUUAGAUGACCCUGAGAUAGAAGCACAACAGUGGACGGAGGUGAAUGGACAAGUAUACGGACACGUUCUGCUGAGAUUUAUCUUUCCUCCCUUCUACAAUGGUUAUGAGAAGUUAUGUUCUAAACUAUAUCCUGGGCCAUUUCCUGUUGUGAAUACCAGAGGAUAUGUCAACAACUACUACAAGGGAAGAAUAUCGAGAACGGAAUACAACGGUGAGAUGUACGUUAUGAUAUGGAAUUUAAAACCUGUGGACGCUGGCGACUACAGGUGUGUUGUCAGCGGUGUGAAUCAUAUCUACUCUGACUUUCACCUCCAGAUUGAUAGUGGUCGACGUAGCGGUCCUGUACCACCUCGACCUCGUGUCAGAUCAACCAUCAGACCCUCCAUCUUCUCAUCAUCCUCCUCCGACACCUCUGGGCCUUUUUCCCCCAGUAUUUCCCGGAGUGUUGGUAUACCACUGGCUGCAGGUCUCUGCAUCUCGAUGGGGAUCGUUAUCUGUUCAAUCAUAGUUGCUGUGGUUCAUCGCAAAGUCAGGGCAAAAAAGAAAUGUGGAGCAACUUCCAGUGACUCAGCAGCCCACGUCCUCUCACACGUCCCUCAAAAGGAGAGCAGUAUUGUCUACGCCACAGUGGACUUCAAACCUCAUGAGAACCAUACCACAGAGCUGUAUGCUAACCUACAGACACUCCGCAGCCCCAGAGGUCAUGACCCUGACACACACAGAGAGCCUGCUGGGACGGUGGUGUACUCCACGCUGGCUAGCAACCAACGCUGAACCGGAUUGUUACGUAUCUGUAUCUUUCCUAGCCUGGUGGUCACAGAUCUGUUUGUGCUGUCUUGAUAUGCUGUCAUGACCAGGCUAUCUGUAUAAUCCUUAGUUGCUACAUAUUUUUUUUAAUUAAUGAUAUAUACUUAUAAAUGCCUCAUGAGCUUAGUUCAUCUGUCGUACCCCCAUCAGAACCCAAAAUAUAAGCUUGUUUUACUCCAAUGUUUUUAAACAAAGUAAAUGUAAUCAAACACAUUAUAGCCUCAACACAUGGUUAAAACUAUAGUGUUGAUAUCAUGGAUGGUCAGUUCUUUUAUCCAUAGCUCUGUCUAGGAUAGAGACACGCCCAUCCUUCCGCUUCUUACCAAAACAGAGGCGGGGUGCCACUUUGUUUCAACUUUGGAGUCUAGCUUUAAGAUGAUUGAUUUGUCUUUAUUCUUUUGACUUAUGAACUAUACAAAUAAAAUAACUCAACUACACCAUGAUUUACUCUGACUGUCUUUCAACAAGCUGGCUCUAUUGACAGGCUGAGAGACACUAUCUGGCAUCCAAUCACCAUGUCCUUAUCAGUUUCCUCUGGAUAAAACCUUAGACACAGAGUUCCCUACCCAUUCAUAUACGAGAUGGUUGUCUCUGGGCCUACCUGCCUCCACCAUGUUUGGGUCUUAUGUCUCUGGGUUCUACCUGCCUCCACUAUGUUUGGGUCUAUGUCUCUGGGCCUACCUGCCUCCCAUGUUUGGGUCUAUGUCUCUGGGCCUACCUGCCUCAACUAUGUUUGGGUCUAUGUCUCUGGGUUCUACCUGCCUCCACUAUGUUUGGGUCUAUGUCUCUGGGCCUACCUGCCUCCCAUGUUUGGGUCUAUGUCUCUGGGCCUACCUGCCUCCACUAUGUUUGGGUCUAUGUAUCUGGGCCUACC
ensembl:lncRNA